rnacentral:rRNA from 1 species
UACGAGGGGGGCGAGCGUUGUCCGGAAUCAUUGGGCGUAAAGCGCGCGUAGGCGGCCCCGUAAGUCCGCUGUGAAAGUCAAAGGCUCAACCUUUGAAAGCCGGUGGAUACUGUGGGGCUAGAGUCCGGAAGAGGCGAGUGGAAUUCCUGGUGUAGCGGUGGAAUGCGCAGAUAUCAGGAGGAACACCAAUAGCGAAGGCAGCUCGCUGGGACGGUACUGACGCUAAGGCGCGAAAGCGUGGGGAGCGAACAGG